GCUUCACUUUCUUACUGAUAAAAAAUUCCUAGUAGCCGUACUCUCUCCCUCAACUCUUUUUUUUAUUCCCUUCCAUUUUAGAAAAAGCAACAAAGCUUGUCAAUCAUGGACAGUGGAAAGUUACUCGACUUACAUGCUACUUUCUUCUCCAUCACGUGAAGCUUACAAUCCUGUCCAAAACCUACCCCAACGUUCACUGUCUUUGACGAAUUUCAAAAUUUAAAUUCAAAAUCCCACCCAAACUAAGAACCCUAGUUUUUUACUUCUAUAGUUAUUAGAAUUUGGAAUCCAUUCGAACAAGAUUCAGCCGCUUUCUUCACCCAAAUGAUUGAUAAUACCUUUAUAUUUCUUAUAGCUUUGUUCUUCUCUGUUGGCUCUAACGACAACAAAGACAUUGAAUUUUAAUCCACUCGAGCGAAACUCGUUUUCAUUUGCAUAAGGACCCUAGUUCCGCAGCUCAAAGACCCCUUAGUUCACUGCUCCACAAAAGAUUGAGUACAUAUAUUCAUAAUCUCAGUAGUGAACACUAGAUGCUCUUCAUCGAUUGCCAAGGUAUUUGAAAACUAUGAAUUGGUGUUUGUAUUUUAAUAAAUUUCCUCUUGUUUUGGAAGGGUUUUGUGAUGCACAUAAGGUAACUGAUAAAGAUGAAGUUAUCUCCAGUAUUGUCUUUGUGUUUACUUUGGGUACAGGUGCUAUUUCGUGGAAGUCCUCCAAACAUACUUGUAUAUCACGUUCUACCAUAAAAUCUGAAUUCAUUACUCUCGAGUUAGCAUGUGAAGAAGCUGAGUGGUUGAGAAAGCUUUUGGCAGGUAUUCCCUUGUGGGGAAGGCAAGCUUUACUAGUAUCUUUUCAUUAUGACUCAUAGGAAGCAAUAGGGAUUUCCAAAAAUAGUGUGCACAAUGGAAAAAAGUGACAUUCACAUUAGACAUGGUGCAAUUAAAUAGUUGUUCAAAUUUAGUGUUAUUUCCUUGGAAUAUCUGAAGUCCAAAAGAAAUUUGGCGGAUCCUAUGAUCAAGGGCUUGGUAAAAAAAAUAUUCCUUGAAACUUUGAGGGGGAUGGAAAUAAAGAGCAUUGGUUAAGGUAGUCUGGUGGACCCGUUAGGCCUCAAUAUACACUACAUUAUCUAUCCCUAUGGUGUGAGGAGGUUUUUUUUAUAUGUUUGAGAUAAUUUUGAUGUUAAUGAUUCAAUAACCUUAAGUUGGUAUAUUUGAGAUAGCCUUGAUGGAAUCACCUACGUGAGUGUAAAGGUGUUGUCGCCAUUUCUUGAAGACUUGGGUUGUUUGUUUGGAGCUCUCAUAAAGACCCAAGGUGUGUGUGAAUGACCAUAAAAACACUUAGUUAGGAUUGGGGAGUUUGAAUAAAAUCAAGGAUAUGGUAUGCAUUGUGGGAGUCUCAACUUAUGUCAAUUUGGGUCAAGAUUUCUUCACUUUAUGGACACAUAUUGUUGCCUCAUUUCACUAUAUGUCAGUUCAAAUAAAAAGAUAUUGAUACUUUAGUACUCGUUCCUAUUUUUCCCCAGAAAUUCUUCUUCUUCUUUAUCUUUGUACUAGUGGGGGAUUGCGAUAUUAUUCCUUAUUAUUUAAUGUAAAGCAUAAGUUACAUAUGUAAAUUCUCCAUCACUUAUCAAUGUAAACAUUGCUAAGUCGUUAGUAUAUGUGAAAUUGGAGAGUUACUUCAACA